GAUGAACGCUGGCGGCGUGCCUAAUACAUGCAAGUCGAGCGAACGGACGAGAAGCUUGCUUCUCUGAUGUUAGCGGCGGACGGGUGAGUAACACGUGGAUAACCUACCUAUAAGACUGGGAUAACUUCGGGAAACCGUAGCUAAUACCGGAUAAUAUUUUGAGCCGCAUGGUUCAAAAGUGAAAGACGGUCUUGCUGUCACUUAUAGAUGGAUCCGCGCUGCAUUAGCUAGUUGGUAAGGUAACGGCUUACCAAGGCAACGAUGCAUAGCCGACCUGAGAGGGUGAUCGGCCACACUGGAACUGAGACACGGUCCAGACUCCUACGGGAGGCAGCAGUAGGGAAUCUUCCGCAAAGGGCGAAAGCCUGACGGAGCAACGCCGCGUGAGUGAUGAAGGUCUUCGGAUCGUAAAACUCUGUUAUUAGGGAAGAACAUAUGUGUAAGUAACUGUGCACAUCUUGACGGUACCUAAUCAGAAAGCCACGGCUAACUACGUG
rnacentral:rRNA from 1 species